UACGUAGGGUGCGAGCGUUAAUCGGAAUUACUGGGCGUAAAGCGUGCGCAGGCGGUUUUGUAAGCCAGAUGUGAAAGCCCCGGGCUUAACCUGGGAAUGGCAUUUGGGACUGCAAGGCUUGAGUGCGGCAGAGGAGACUGGAAUUCCCGGUGUAGCAGUGAAAUGCGUAGAUAUCAGGAGGAACACCAGUGGCGAAGGCGGCUCACUGGACUGGUACUGACGCUGAGGCGCGAAAGCGUGGGGAGCAAACAGG
rnacentral:rRNA from 1 species